AUGGUGGAGACCAAGAAACAUAUUGUGUAUCCUUUGGUUUAUCAGCUUGUGAAUCUAGCACUUGUAUUGCCUGUUGCCACUGCUACAGUUGAGAGAUGUUUUUCGGGCAUGAAAAUUGUGAAGACAUUUUUGCGCAAUCGUCUUGGUGAUGAUGCAUUGAAUCACAACCUUAUUUGCUAUGUGGAGAAGGAAGAAAUGAGAAAAGUUACCAAUGAUGCAGUCAUUGAUCGCUUUGAGGUCAUGAAUGAACGUAGAGGGCUAUUUUAA
rnacentral:rRNA from 1 species